rnacentral:rRNA from 1 species
CCUACGGGGGGCAGCAGUAGGGAAUUUUCGUCAAUGGGCGCAAGCCUGAACGAGCGAUGCCGCGUGAGUGAAGAAGGCCUUCGGGUCGUAAAGCUCUGUUGCGGGGGAAAAAAGGCAGCAUCAGGAAAUGGGUGCUGACUGAUGGUGCCCCGCCAGAAAGUCACGGCUAACUACGUGCCAGCAGCCGCGGUAAUACGUAGGUGGCGAGCGUUAUCCGGAAUGAUUGGGCGUAAAGGGUGCGCAGGCGGUCCUGCAAGUCUGGAGUGAAACGCAUGAGCUCAACUCAUGCAUGGCUUUGGAAACUGGAGGACUGGAGAGCAGGAGAGGGCGGUGGAACUCCAUGUGUAGCGGUAAAAUGCGUAGAUAUAUGGAAGAACACCAGUGGCGAAGGCGGCCGCCUGGCCUGUUGCUGACGCUGAGGCACGAAAGCGU